AUCAACUUUCGAUGGUAGGAUAGAGGCCUACCAUGGUGGUAACGGGUAACGGGGUGUUAGGGCACGACACCGGAGAGGGAGCCUGAGAAACGGCUACCACAUCCAAGGAUGGCAGCAGGCGCGCAAAUUACCCAAUCCCGACACGGGGAGGUAGUGACAAUAAAUAACAAUACGGGGUUCUUUCGGAUCUCGUAAUUGGAAUGAGUACAAUUUAAAUCUCUUAACGAGGAACAAUUGGAGGGCAAGUCUGGUGCCAGCAGCCGCGGUAAUUCCAGCUCCAAUAGCGUAUAUUAAAGUUGUUGCAGUUAAAAAGCUCGUAGUUGAAUUUCGGGGUCAAUAUGUUGGUCAUGCCUCUGGACUGACCGGGUCUCUUGGAUUCCCCCUUCCGAAGAAACCUGAUGGCCUUUAAUUGGGGGCUGGGGGAAACUUGAACGGUACCUUUAAAAAAAUUAAAUGGUUAAAGGCAGGUCAACCUUGGAUUACUUUACAUGGAAAUAUGGAAUUAGAACUUUGAAUCCUAUUUGGUGGGUUCCUAGAAUUGACUAAUGGAUUAUAAGGAUUAGUGGGGGCAUUUAUAUUUCAAUUGCAGAAGGUGAAUUUCUGGAAUUAAUGGAGAACUACUACUGGCAAAAGCAUUGGCCAAGAAUGUUUCCAUUAAUCAGAAACAAAGUUUAGGGAAUCAAAAACAAUCAAAUACCGUCUAAUCCUUAACCAUAACUAAUGCCAACUAGGAUUCGAAUAAUGUAAAUUUUAAUGACUUCAUUCGGCCCUUACGGAAAACCAAAGUUUUGGUUUC
rnacentral:sRNA from 1 species